rnacentral:rRNA from 1 species
UCGAACGAUGAACCACUUCGGUGGGGAUUAGUGGCGAACGGGUGAGUAACACGUGGGCAAUCUGCCCUGACACUCUGGGACAAGCCCUGGAAACGGGGUCUAAUACCGGAUACUGACCCUCGUCAGGCAUCUGCGAGGUUCGAAAGCUCCGGCGGUGCAGGAUGAGCCCGCGGCCUAUCAGCUUGUUGGUGAGGUAAUGGCUCACCAAGGCGACGACGGGUAGCCGGCCUGAGAGGGCGACCGGCCACACUGGGACUGAGACACGGCCCAGACUCCUACGGGAGGCAGCAGUGGGGAAUAUUGCACAAUGGGCGAAAGCCUGAUGCAGCGACGCCGCGUGAGGGAUGACGGCCUUCGGGUUGUAAACCUCUUUCAGCAGGGAAGAAGCGAAAGUGACGGUACCUGCAGAAGAAGCGCCGGCUAACUACGUGCCAGCAGCCGCGGUAAUACGUAGGGCGCAAGCGUUGUCCGGAAUUAUUGGGCGUAAAGAGCUCCUACGCGGCUUGUCGCGUCGGUUGUGAAAGCCCGGGGCUUAUCCCCGGGUCUGCAGUCGAUACGGGCACGCUAGACUUCGGUACGGGAGAUCGGAAUUCCUGGUUGUACCCGGCGAAAUGGCCAGAUUUUAGAGGGAAGAACCGGGGGGGAAAGGGGGGUUUUUUGGGCCGGAUACUAACCUUGAGGAGCGAAAGCUUGGGGGGCCAAACAGGAUUAAAAACCCCUGGUAGUCCACCCCCUAAACGUUGGUAUUAACUUGGGCAACAAGGGAAGGUGGGGGGGGGGGGAGGUAACGCAUAAAUUGCCCCCCCUGGGGAUACGCCCAAGGUUAAAAUUCAAAGGAAUUGACGGGGGCCCGCACAAACGGCGGAGCAUGUGGCUUAAUUCGACGCAACGCGAAGAACCUUACCAAGGCUUGACAUACACCGGAAAGCAUCAGAGAUGGUGCCCCCCUUGUGGUCGGUGUACAGGUGGUGCAUGGCUGUCGUCAGCUCGUGUCGUGAGAUGUUGGGUUAAGUCCCGCAACGAGCGCAACCCUUGUCCCGUGUUGCCAGCAGGCCCUUGUGGUGCUGGGGACUCACGGGAGACCGCCGGGGUCAACUCGGAGGAAGGUGGGGACGACGUCAAGUCAUCAUGCCCCUUAUGUCUUGGGCUGCACACGUGCUACAAUGGCCGGUACAAUGAGCUGCGAUACCGCCAAGGUGGAGCGAAUCUCAAAAAGCCGGUCUCAGUUCGGAUUGGGGUCUGCAACUCGACCCCAUGAAGUCGGAGUCGCUAGUAAUCGCAGAUCAGCAUUGCUGCGGUGAAUACGUUCCCGGGCCUUGUACACACCGCCCGUCACGUCACGAAAGUCGGUAACACCCGAAGACCGGUGGCCCAACCCCUUGUGGGAGGGAGCUGUCGAAGGUGGGAUCUGGCGAUUGGGACGAAGUCGU